GCCUUGAAAAAUCGCGGCGCCGUUCGGCCGCCUUCGAAUUGUAGUCUGGAGAAGGCCCCUCUGCGGCGCGCCGCACCCAAGUGCCCUGGAAAGGGACGUCCGAGAGGGUGAGAACCCCGUCGCGUGCGGAGUGCGCCGCUCCACGAGGGCCUGUCUGCGAGUCGGGCUGUUUGGGAAUGCAGCCCUAAUCGGGUGGUAAAUUCCACCCAAGGCUAAAUAUGGGCAAGAGACCGAUAGCGAACAAGUACCGCGAGGGAAAGAUGAAAAGGACUUUGAAAAGAGAGUUAAAAAGUGCUUGAAAUUGCUGGGAGGGAAGCGAAUGGAAGCUGCGGGUGCGCUCCGGUCGAAUGCGGAACGGUCUUCACCGGCUGGUCCGCCGAUCGACGCGGGGCGCUGGUCAGCGUGGGCCGUCUUGGCGGGACAAGAGCGGGGAUUCGCUUCCCCCCCAUGCCGCCGCGGCGGCCGAGGAACGAAGCGCGCGCCCCUCCGUGGGCGUGGGCCCCCGGGCCCAACUGCGCGCUCGAGACGCUGGCGUAUUGAGCUCUUCAUCCGACCCGUCUUGAAACACGGACCAAGGAGUCUAACAUGUAUGCGAGCCGGUGGGCGGCAAACCCAUGGAGGGCGCAAAGUAACCUGACAGGUGGGACCCCGGCGCCGCGAGCACANGCGGGAGCACCAUCGACCGACCGUGAUCUUCUGUGAAAGGUUCGAGUGGGAGCAUACCUGUUGGGACCCGAAAGAUGGUGAACUAUGCCUGAGCAGGGCGAAGCCAGAGGAAACUCUGGUGGAGGCUCGUAGCGAUACUGACGUGCAAAUCGUUCGUCAGACUUGGGUAUAGGGGCGAAAGACUAAUCGAACCAUCUAGUAGCUGGUUCCCUCCGAAGUUUCCCUCAGGAUAGCUGGAGCUCGCGCAAGAGUUUUAUCAGGUAAAGCGAAUGAUU
rnacentral:rRNA from 2 species